UCAAUUUUGGGAAUGUUCGGU
rnacentral:piRNA from 1 species